rnacentral:rRNA from 1 species
AGAGUUUGAUCCUGGCUCAGGAUGAACGCUGGCGGCAGGCUUAAUACAUGCAAGUCGGACGGUAACGCGCUGGUAGCAAUACCGGUGGCGACGAGUGGCGCACGGGUGCGUAACGCGUAUGCAACCUACCCAUAACAGGGACAAAACGUUGAGAAAUCGGCGCUAAUAUCCCAUGUGGAUGACUCCGGGCAUCCGGAGUCAUUUAAAGGCGCGAGCUGGUUAUGGAUGGGCAUGCGUAUCAUUAGCUGGUUGGCGGGGUGACGGCCCACCAAGGCGACGAUGAUUAGGGGUUCUGAGAGGAUGGUCCCCCACACUGGAACUGAGACACGGUCCAGACUCCUACGGGAGGCAGCAGUAGGGAAUAUUGGGCAAUGGUCGGAAGACUGACCCAGCCAUGCCGCGUGAAGGAAUACGGCCCUAUGGGUCUUAAACUUCUUUUAUCGCAGAGUAACCGCGGGGACGCGUCCCCGCCUGCAAGUAUGCGAUGAAUAAGUAUCGGCUAACUCCGUGCCAGCAGCCGCGGUAAUACGGAGGAUACGAGCGUUAUCCGGAUUUAUUGGGUUUAAAGGGUGCGCAGGCGGGCCGGUAAGUCAUGGGUGAAAAGCUGCAGCUUAACUGUAGUCGUGCCUAUGAUACUGCCGGACUGGAGUUGAAGGGGUGUAACUGGAAUGUGAUGUGUAGCGGUGAAAUGCAUAGAUAUGUCACAGAACGCCGAUCGUGAAGACAGGUUACAAACUUCAUACUGACGCUCAUGCACGAAAGCGUGGGUAUCAAACAGGAUUAGAUACCCUGGUAGUCCACGCUGUAAA